AGCACACUUGCAACUGAGGUUACAGGCAAACUUGCAGCUUUGAAAGGGCUAGAUGCAAGGCUCCGUGAGAUACGCGACUAUCUCGAUUUCGUAGUUGAUGGAAAGCUUCCACUAAAUCAUGAAAUCCUUUACCAUUUACAGGAUGUCUUCAAUCUGCUUCCAAAUCUCAAUGUGAAUGAGCUUAUCAAGGCUUUUUCUGUGAAAACCAAUGACAUGAUGCUGGUCAUAUACCUAUCUUCCCUCAUACGCAGCGUCAUCGCUCUACACAAUUUGAUUAACAACAAAAUGUUGAACAAGGAGCACGAAAAAGCCGAAGAUGCUACACCUGUGGCCAUUGCAACUGCUAGUGGAAGCUAGAUGAUG
rnacentral:misc_RNA from 1 species